ACUUAGUUACAAAAACUGGCCAAAGUUAGCAUUAAUAUUUGUUUGCGUGUAAACAAAAAAUAAUGCAAACAUAAUUUGAAUGCCAAUUUUGGACAGUGUUUGUGACUAAGUAGC